rnacentral:misc_RNA from 1 species
CCCCUCCCAUUGCUCAACCUUUGGUGGCUUAGUCAACCCCAUACCACCAUUAACAAGAAAUAAUACUUGAGCUUCCUCUGUUGGAACAAUAUACUCUAGCAAUAUACAGCGAUCUAUCUCAUGUAGCGUGAAGAACUGACCAUCCUCGGAACUCUCCAACAGGCCAGCAGUGACAAGAGUUUCAAGAACAUUUCGGCCUUUCUGAUACGUAUCUGUCAGGUCAUCAGAUAUCCAGUUGUCUAUCAAUG